rnacentral:lncRNA from 1 species
CACGUCCCGGGCACGCCACGCCACGCCACGCCCCGCCCCCAGAUUCGUCUAGCCCCAGUGGGCCGCCUCGGAGUCGGGUGGGUCUUCCAUCCCGGAGAAAGUUAAAAGAAAAAUGGGGAGAGCUUUUAAGUGAAAACUAAAGGUGCUGGCGUCACAAUUGGAAAUGCAAGGAUGCAGAAGAAAUGGUAAGAUGUGGGUGGGUAGUAUCCCAGUAAACAACAUAAACCUUCUAACAGACUUGAGGUGGCUGUCAAGCCUUUCAGACAUGUGAUUGAUAAUGAAUGUCAGAGGAGAGUUUCCUUUUCCAUCAACGCUUCAGGAGACAGCGGACCGCCACCAACACGGGGCGGAAGAGCACCCCUGUCACGCAGACUGUGUCGCCCCCGGCUCGCCUGGGCACGCCCCUUCCUGCCUUAGCAGCGGCGUCCCGCCCUUUCCGCCUUUCACUUCCUAGUAACCGCCCUCC